UACAGAGGGUGCAAGCGUUAAUCGGAUUUACUGGGCGUAAAGGGUGCGUAGGUGGUUAUGUAAGUGAGAUGUGAAAGCCCCGGGCUCAACCUGGGAACUGCAUCUUAUACUGUAUAGCUGGAGUGAAGUAGAGGGUAGUGGAAUUUCCGGUGUAGCGGUGAAAUGCGUAGAUAUCGGAAGGAACACCAGUGGCGAAGGCGGCUACCUGGACUUACACUGACACUGAGGCACGAAAGCGUGGGUAGCAAACAGG
rnacentral:rRNA from 1 species